CCUACGGGUGGCAGCAGUGGGGAAUAUUGGGCAAUGGGCGCAAGCCUGACCCAGCAACGCCGCGUGAAGGAAGAAGGCUUUCGGGUUGUAAACUUCUUUUAAGAGGGAAGAGCAAGUGACGGUACCUGAGGAAUAAGCCACGGCUAACUACGUGCCAGCAGCCGCGGUAAUACGUAGGUGGCAAGCGUUAUCCGGAUUUACUGGGUGUAAAGGGCGUGUAGGCGGGGACGCAAGUCAGAUGUGAAAACCACGGGCUCAACCUGUGGCCUGCAUUUGAAACUGUGUUUCUUGAGUACUGGAGAGGCAGACGGAAUUCCUAGUGUAGCGGUGAAAUGCGUAGAUAUUAGGAGGAACACCAGUGGCGAAGGCGGUCUGCUGGACAGCAACUGACGCUGAGGCGCGAAAGCGUGGGGAGCAAACAGGAUUAGAUACCCCAGUAGUC
rnacentral:rRNA from 1 species